CAGCCGCCACGGUAAUACGUAGGGUGCGAGCGUUAAUCGGAAUUACUGGGCGUAAAGCGUGCGCAGGCGGUUCGUUAAGACAGAUGUGAAAUCCCCGGGCUUAACCUGGGAACUGCAUUUGUGACUGGCGAGCUAGAGUAUGGCAGAGGGGGGUAGAAUUCCACGUGUAGCAGUGAAAUGCGUAGAGAUGUGGAGGAAUACCGAUGGCGAAGGCAGCCCCCUGGGACAACACUGACGCUGAAGCACGAAAGCGUGGGGAGCAAACAGGAUUAGAGACCCGCGUAGUCCCUGUCUCUUAUAC
rnacentral:rRNA from 1 species